rnacentral:rRNA from 1 species
AUUGAACGCUGGCGGCAGGCCUAACACAUGCAAGUCGAGCGAGCGGCGGACGGGUGAGUAAUGUCUGGGAAACUGCCUGAUGGAGGGGGAUAACUACUGGAAACGGUAGCUAAUACCGCAUACCAUCAGAUGUGCCCAGAUGGGAUUAGCUAGUAGGUGGGGUAACGGCUCACCUAGGCGACGAUCCCUAGCUGGUCUGAGAGGAUGACCAGCCAGACUGUCACUGCGCCCCGGUCCAGCCUCCUACGUGAUGCAGACGUGGGGAAUAUUGCACAAUGGGCGCAAGCCUGAUGCAGCCAUGCCGCGUGUGUGAAGAAGGCCUUCGGGUUGUAAAGCACUUUCAGCGGGGAGGCGUUACCCGCAGAAGAAGCACCGGCUAACUCCGUGCCAACAGCCGCGGUAAUUC